GGUGGAUGUGGUGAGAAUGCUUAAGAGCCAGUAGAUCAAAGACAUCUAUGUUAGUAUCAUCAGGAACUGUUCGAUACUGCUGCAGAUCUGUCAAGCUGUAUUCCCCUGAUGGAACGAGGGUUACAUACGUAACCGAGACGUUUACAAUCUGAAAACAACAUAGCCUAGUUUGUCAUAUCUCUUCACCACAGACCAGGAAAAAAAAGAAAAAAAAAAAAAACAUGGACACAACAUGUUUAAAGCUGGGUUUCACCUUCUACAGCUUCCUCACUUUGGGUGGGUGCGCAGCUGUAGGAUUCGGUAUAUGGUCACAAAUGAAGAGCAAGACAUCUGACUUGUUAAAAACAGUUGAUGAUGCAAUACUUACAACGCUCCUGUCCCAGGGGGCCCCGAUGCUGAUCACUCUGGGAUGCAUCCUCAUUGUGAUGGGCGUGAUUGGCUGUUUAGGCACUUUGAAGAAAAAAAGCUGGAUGCUCUUGGUUUUUUUCAUCGCUAUGCUCAUCAUCUUAAUCCUCCAGGUCAUCGUGGCAGUGUUUAUGGUCGUCCCCAAUUCUGUGAAAGAAAAAUCCUUGAGGAGAUUAGAGAGAAAAUUUUUACAAAGCCUUGAGAAGAACUAUAAAGUUAACUCUUCAAUCACUGACAUAUGGGAUGAAACCAUGAACAAGCUGCGUUGCUGUGGAUACAAAGGCUAUGAUGACUUCACACGUUCCCCUAGGGAAGAAGAACAGAAGAACUUGUAUCCCAAACAAUGCUGCAGUCAAUUUUCAAAAACACAUUCAACAUGUAGUAAAGAACAAGCUGAGAAUAAGAAAGUAAGGGGCUGCAUUCGUCUGCUGUUGAACGAAAACAUUACCAUUUCUGGAGCUUUGUACUUUUUGAUCGGCAUUCUAGAGAUUGUUGCCUUGGUUGUUUCCCUGAAAGUCUACCAAUUCUUGAAAAGCAUCCCGGACCCCUCUUAAAAUAAUCAGUGAUCUUUUUAUAAAUGUGUGCAAUUUCUUUUUGUUUUAGUAUUGCUUUUGCAUUUAUCUUUUGCAUUUGUCUUCAGGGGGGGAAAAAAUCACAUUUUGUUAUGAAAGGUGAAUAUUAAUGUUGAUAUGUCUAUCAAAUAUAACAAAGUGCAUAGUG